ACCUUCUCCAGCGAAACUCACCGGACUUCUUCUCCGGUGCUCUCUCUCCUCUCGGUCUAAUUGCUCUUGAAACAGACCAAUAAAGAUAUUCAAUCGACAAGCUGGAUGGAUGUAGGCGACGUUAAUGCGGGGACAUGUG